UCGGCAACGGAUAUCUCGGCUCUUACAUCGAUGAAGAACGUAGCAAAAUGCGAUACUUGGUGUGAAUUGCAGAAUCCCGUGAACCAUCGAGUCUUUGAACGCAAGUUGCGCCCGAAUCCAUCUGGUUGAGGGCACGUCUGCCUGGGUGUCACGUACGCGUGCCUCCCGCGAACCUUCCCCUUUAUGCGGACGAAUGGUCUCGCGGGAGCAGAUGUUGGUAUCCCGUGCCU
rnacentral:rRNA from 2 species